UCCUAAAGUCAUCUUAUCAACCACUCCUGCUUCCUUCCAGCCUCAGACAGCAGACUGUCUUUCAGAUCUCCUCUUUGUCCUGAGGGCAUAGACAAAGAAAGUGUCAUCAAGAGGGACCUCUCACGAGCAGGAAAUCUGACCAGACCUGGCAGCAAGCAGCAGAUCCUGGGAAUUUGCAACAGUCAAUUCAGCAAAGAAGAGUUGGCAAAGCUGGAUGGUGUAGUACCAAAGAUUUCAAGAAUCUCAAAGCCUGAGUUUGAAUUUCAGCUCUGUCACUUACAGACCACUUCAAAAUUCUCUCAACCUCGUCACUGCUACAGUACUGCUUCUAUGCAGAUGUUGAUUUGCUUUAUGCAAGGACAAUUGAGCAACCCAUCACCUCAAACCACUCCACGUACAUCUCAUUUUCUACCGUGAGGCUACCUUUAGAACCACUCUUCACCCAUUCAUGCACAAACUGGAAGUGCAAUUAAUGACCCUUGGGCUACAGUUGACCAAUGAGGAAUGAGAGCAGAUGGAUACGUGCUCCUCUCUUUCAGGUGAGGGUUCCGAGAUAUCCUCUUAGAUCCAGAAAUAUUUACCUAGAGUUGAGGACAAUUUGACAAUCCUUAGGUUGUCUGUUCUUUUUUUCUGUUUCAUUCCAUCUGUCCUGUACUCCUGCUCCAUGGCAUCACAUAAGUACCACAUGCAAGGCCUUAUAUCUGGUUCUAAGAACACCCAGGCUAAAGCAUUUUUCUAAUAUGUAUAUCUAAUUUUUCUGUCUUUUG
rnacentral:lncRNA from 1 species